rnacentral:rRNA from 1 species
AUUGAACGCUGGCGGCAGGCUUAACACAUGCAAGUCGAGCGGAGAUGAGGUGCUUGCACCUUAUCUUAGCGGCGGACGGGUGAGUAAUGCUUAGGAAACUGCCUAUUAGUGGGGGACAACAUUCCGAAAGGAAUGCUAAUACCGCAUACGUCCUACGGGAGAAAGCAGGGGAUCUUCGGACCUUGCGCUAAUAGAUGAGCCUAAGUCGGAUUAGCUAGUUGGUGGGGUAAAGGCCUACCAAGGCGAAGAUCUGUAGCGGGUCUGAGAGGGUGAACCGCCACACUGGGGAUGAGACACGGCCCAGAAUCCUACGGGAGGCAGCAGUGGGGAAUAUUGGACAAUGGGGGGAACCCUGAUCCAGCCAUGCCGCGUGUGUGAAGAAGGCCUUAUGGUUGUAAAGCACUUUAAGCGAGGAGGAGGCUACUGAGACUAAUACUCUUGGAUAGUGGACGUUACUCGCAGAAUAAGCACCGGCUAACUCUGUGCCAGCCGCCGCCGUAAAAC